AAUGAACGCUGGCGGCAGGCCUAAAACAUGCAAGUCGAACGCUGUAGCAAUACAGAGUGGCGCACGGGUGAGUAACAUGUGGGAAUAUGCCUUUUGGUACGGAACAACUUUUGGAACGAAAGCUAUACCGUAUGGUCCUUCGGGUAAGAUUAUCGCCAAAGAUUAGCCCGCACUGGAUUAGCUAGUUGGUAAGGUAAUGGCUUACCAAGGCGACGAUCCAUAGCUGGCUGAGAGGACGAUCAGCCACACCUGGGACUGAGACACGGCCCAGACUCCUACGGGAGGCAGCAGUUAGGAAUAUUGGACAAUGGGCGCAAGCCUGAUCCAGCCAUGCCGCGUGAGUGAUGAAGGCCUUAGGGUUGUAAAGCUCUUUUACCCGGGAAGAUAAU
rnacentral:rRNA from 1 species